CCUACGGGGGGCAGCAGUGAGGAAUAUUGGUCAAUGGGCGCGAGCCUGAACCAGCCAAGUCGCGUGAGGGAAGACGGCCCUACGGGUUGUAAACCUCUUUUGCCGGGGAGCAACGGGCGCCACGUGUGGCGCCACUGAGAGUACCUGGAGAAAAAGCAUCGGCUAACUCCGUGCCAGCAGCCGCGGUAAUCUGGGGGAUGCGAGCGUUAUCCGGUUUUAUUGGGUUUAAAGGGUGCGUGGGCGGAGCGUUAAGUCAGUGGAAAAAUUGAGGGGCUAAACCCCUUCCCGCCAUUGAAACUGGCGCUCUUGAGUGGAAGAGAAGUAUGCGGAAUGCGUGGUGUAGCGGUGAAAUGCAUAGAUAUCACGCAGAACCCCGAUUGCGAAGGCGGCAUGCCGGCUUCCGACUGACGCUGAAGCACGAAAGCGUGGGGAUCGAACAGGAUUAGAUACCCGAGUAGUC
rnacentral:rRNA from 1 species